rnacentral:rRNA from 1 species
UACGAAGGGGGCUAGCGUUGUUCGGAAUCACUGGGCGUAAAGCGCACGUAGGCGGCCCGGUAAGUCCGUUGUGAAAGUCAGAGGCUCAACCUCUGGAGGCCAAUGGAUACUGCCGGGCUAGAGUCCGGAAGAGGCGAGUGGAAUUCCUGGUGUAGCGGUGGAAUGCGCAGAUAUCAGGAGGAACACCAAUGGCGAAGGCAGCUCGCUGGGACGGUACUGACGCUGAGGUGCGAAAGCGUGGGGAGCGAACAGG